rnacentral:rRNA from 1 species
ACACCGGCAGCUCAAGUGGUAGCCGCUUUUAUUGGGCCUAAAGCGUCCGUAGCCGGUCUGAUAAGUCUCUGGUGAAAUCCCGCAGCUUAACUGUGGGAAUUGCUGGAGAUACUAUCAUGACUCGAGGUCGGGAGAGGCUGGAGGUACUCCCAGGGUAGGGGUGAAAUCCUGUAAUCCUGGGAGGACCACCUGUGGCGAAGGCGUCCAGCUGGAACGAACCUGACGGUGAGGGACGAAAGCCAGGGGCGCGAACCGGAUUAGAUACCCGGGUAGUCCUGGCCGUAAACGAUGUGGACUUGGUGUUGGGAUGGCUUCGAGCUGCCCAAGUGCCGAAGGGAAGCUGUUAAGUCCACCGCCUGGGAAGUACGGCCGCAAGGCUGAAACUUAAAGGAAUUGGCGGGG